GUGAUAGGGUACUUUUUGUAGAACGGUCCGGCGAGCGAUUGUAUGCAGCAAGGUUAAGGACUUAAGGUCUGGAGCCGAAGCGAAAGCGAGUUUGAAAAGGGCGUUAAGUUGCAUAUAAUGGGCCCGAAACCGGGUGACCUACCCAUGGUCAGGUUGAAGUGGAAGUAAAAUUCCAUGGAGGACCGAACCGACCUCCGUUGAAAAGGCGGCGGAUGAACUGUGGGUAGCGGAGAAAUUCCAAUCGAACCCGGAGAUAGCUGGUUCUCCCCGAAAUAGUUUUAGGACUAGCCUCAAGUUAGAUACCUGGAGGUAAAGCACUGAAUAGCCUAGCGGCCGAGAGGUUAGCGAAGCUUAUCAAACUCAGAAUGCCAGAGUAUUGAUGCUUGGGAGUCAGACAGUGUCAGAUAAAUGUCAUUGUCAAAAGGGAAACAGCCCAGAUCUACAGCUAAGGUCCCAAAGUCAGGUUAAGUGGAAAACGAUGUGAAGAUACGCAGACAACCAGGAUGUUGGCUCAGAAGCAGCCACUCAUUCAAAGAGUGCGUAAUAGCUCACUGGUCGAGCGUCUUUGCGCGGAGAAUUUAACGGGGCUAAACCUGACACCGAAGCUUAGGCAAUCCAGCAAUGGAUUGGGUAGGGGAGCGUUGUAUACGCGGAGAAACAGUAGCGUAAGCGGCUGUGGAGUGUAUAGAAGUGAGAAUGCCGGAAUGAGUAGCGCGAAUGCAGUGAGAAUCUGCAUGGCCGAAAGCCUCAGGUUUUUGGAGGAAGGUUCGUCCGCUCCAAGUUAGUCGGGAGCUAAGGUGAGGCCGGAAGGCGUAGCCGAUGCACAGACGGUAGAGAUUCCGUCACCACCAAAAGAGUUAAGCACAGGGACACAUUUGAAGUCUCAGAGCCGGGUGUUGGUUCCGGUAGAGAUCGAGGGAAGUUAGUACCGAAGUCUGGGAUGGAAGAUGGCGAGAAAAGCUGUGUGUAUUUCUGAGGUGCCCGUACCGCAAACCGACACAGGUAGGUAGGAAGAAGAUUCUAAGGCCAACGGGAGAAGGGUUGUUAAGGAACUCGGCAAAUUGACCCCGUAACUUCGGGAGAAGGGGUGCUCCAGAGAUGGAGCCGCAGAGAAUCGGCCCAAGCAACUGUUUACCAAAAACACAGGUUUGUGCUAAAUCGAAAGAUGACGUAUACGAGCUGACGCCUGCCCGGUGCUGGAAGGUUAAGAGGAGAUGUGCAAGCAUUGAAUCGAAGCCCCAGUGAACGGCGGCCGUAACUAUAACGGUCCUAAGGUAGCGAAAUUCCUUGUCAGGUAAG
rnacentral:rRNA from 1 species